UACAGAGGCUACGAGCGUUGUUCGGAAUUACUGGGCGUAAAGGGCGCGUAGGCGGUCUUCUAAGUCAGAUGUGAAAGCCUGGGGCUUAACCCCAGAAGUGCAUUUGAAACUGGAAGGCUAGAGUGCAGUAGAGAAUGGCGGAAUUCCCAGUGGAGAGGUGAAAUUCGUAGAUAUUGGGAGGAACACCGGUGGCGAAGGCGGCCAUUUGGGCUGUAACUGACGCUGAGGCGCGAAAGCGUGGGUAGCAAACAGGAUUAGAUACCCUGGUAGUCCACGCUGUAAACUAUGGAUACUCGCUGUGGCUGGUAUUGACCCCGGCCGUAGCCAAGUUAACACGUUAAGUAUCCCGCCUGGGGAGUACGGUCGCAAGAUUA
rnacentral:rRNA from 1 species